rnacentral:lncRNA from 1 species
AACCAACUCAUUUGCUGGAUCAAAUUUCUUCUAUGGCUCUGUGUAACCUCAGAAAUUUCAAGUAAAGAAGAUUGAAGAGAGAGACCUUCUUUUCAGAUGCCAGAACCAUUGCUCUCUUUCCCUGCUUCACGUGGCUCAUGUAAUUCAGAAGAUAGACUUCAUUCAAAGAAUGAAAAAUAGGCACACAUCAAGCUGCCCAAGCUCCGCUUUAAAGUGAGCUCCCAAAACCCAUCUCACAAUUAUGGCCAAUGUGUGGCUAAAGCAGAGACAUUUUCUCCCCAUAGCUUCACCCCAAAUCUCUCUUUCC